rnacentral:rRNA from 1 species
CACGCAGGCGGUUUGUUAAGUCAGAUGUGAAAUCCCCGGGCUCAACCUGGGAACUGCAUCUGAUACUGGCAAGCUUGAGUCUCGUAGAGGGGGGUAGGAAUUCCAGGUGUAGCGGUGAAAUGCGUAGAGAUCUGGAGGAAUACCGGUGGCGAAGGCGGCCCCCGUCGGACGAAGACUGACGCUCAGGUGCGAAAGCGUGGGAGCAAACA